ACCUAGACCAUCCUUUCCUCAACAAUCACUCCCAUCCAGCAGCUACCAUCCACCACCUCUGCUUGUCCUGUUACCACCGUUAAUUCUGCCGGAAGAACGGCCGGAAAGUCGUUUGUCGGUCUUUGUUAGCACGCGAGCUUCUUCUUGCUCGAAACUCAGUGUUUAUAAAACCCUACUAAAAAAUUUAGUGGGAAAAGUUAAGACCCUUUUAAAACCCUAAUUCUCUCUGUGGAACCACAUAAAAGCUUCAGUCAUGUAUGGAGGAGACGAAGUAUCUGCAAUUGUGAUUGACUUGGGCUCCCACACUUGCAAAGCCGGUUACGCCGGCGAAGAUGCUCCCAAGGCUGUGUUUCCCUCCGUUGUUGGAGCAAUUGAUCAAAUGGACAUUGAUGAGCCUGAUAAUACUGAAAAGAACUCUGCUUCUUCUGCGGAUUCAAAAAACAACACCAGAAAUCCUGAUUCUGACAAAACCAAAGGAAAGCGCAAAUUGUAUGUAGGAUCACAGUCCUUGGGAUACCGCAGAGACCAUAUGGAGGUGCUAUCACCGUUGAAAGAUGGAAUCGUUGCUGACUGGGAUAUUGUUGAUAGCAUUUGGGAUCAUGCUUUCAGGGAAUGCCUUUUGAUCGAUCCUAAAGAGCAUCCAAUGCUACUUGCAGAACCUUCUUCUAACACUCAACAACAGAGAGAAAGGACGGCAGAACUUAUGUUUGAAAAGUACAAAGUACCUGCUUUGUUUUUGGCCAAGAAUGCUGUUCUUACAUCUUUUGCAUCAGGUCGUGCCACGGCAUUAGUUGUUGAUGGUGGUGGAGGAUCAACUACUGUUGCACCUGUCCAUGAUGGUUAUGUUCUUCAAAAGGCAGUUGCAGCUUCUCCUAUAGGAGGAGAGUUUCUUACGGAUUGCUUGAUGAAAAGUUUGGAAAGUAAGGGUAUUGUGAUUAAACCCCGGUAUUCCUUUAAGAGAAAGGAAAUCCGGCCUGGAGAGUUUCAGACUGUAGAUGUUGAUUUUCCCAAUACAACUGAAAGCUACAAACUUUACUCCCAGAGGGUGAUUGCUAGUGAUAUCAAGGAAUGUGUUUGCCGAGCUCCUGAUACCCCAUAUGAUGAGAGUGCAUACUCAAACAUUCCGAUGACCCCAUAUGAACUUCCUGAUGGCCAGACAAUUGAAAUUGGAGCUGAUAGAUUCAAGAUUCCUGAUGUUCUUUUUAAUCCAUCUCUGGUCCAGACUAUUCCUGGCAUGGAGAGUUAUGCAGAGAUUGCUCCUUCAGUUCGAGGUCUGCCACAGAUGGUUAUAGAGAGUAUUAACAAGUGUGAUGUAGACAUCCGAAGGGAAUUAUUUAGUAGCAUACUGCUUGCUGGUGGCACAGCUUCAAUGCAACAGUUGAAGGAACGCCUUGAGAAAGACUUGUUAGAGGAAUCCCCUCAAGCUGCUAGAGUGAAAGUGCUGGCCAGUGGGAAUGCAACUGAAAGGAGGUUCAGCGUUUGGAUAGGUGGAAGCAUAUUGGCUUCUCUUGGCUCCUUCCAACAAAUGUGGUUCUCCAAGACUGAGUAUGAAGAGCAUGGAGCUUCUUAUAUCCAAAGAAAAUGCCCGUGAGUUGCUAUUGAUAUGUAUAGAGUAGAGUAGAUGAAGGAUUUGCUGUGUGCUCACGCGUCACUUGGCUUCAUAACUUAUCAUCGGUAAUAUGAUAAAUGGAAUGUGUGAACUGAUUCCAAGUUCAUUGAUCGAGUCAUUCACUUCAUUAUUAGGGAGAAUCACAUUCAAGGACUACUCAGCUUCCAUAUAGCAGAUGGAGAAAGGCCUUUUUUGGUUGACCUUUUGGGUACCCAAAACUAAGGUUGCCAAACCUAAAAAUCUGAGUGUACAGUGACAAAUCAUAUUGCACUUCAACUUUAGUUUGCAAAUUAAACACUUUCCUGGGGGAUCAAGUAGUUUGAUCUAGAAGGUCUUCAUUGCAGGGCCUUUGGCAUGUGAAACUAGAGACUUUAUCCACUCUUGAUUCUUCACCCAAAGCUCUUCAAGAAAGCUAUUCCAUACUUUUAACACGUUCAACUCAACUCGUCGUUGGGUGGCUGGCAAGCUGACGAGCUAGCUUGUCUUUUAUUUAUUUAUUUAUUUAUUUCCCCUCAUUUUUAAAUAUUUUUAUUUUCAAAU